rnacentral:tRNA from 1 species
GACCCCAUUGCCCAAUGAAUAAGGUGCUGGUCUAUGGAACCAGAGAUUCUGGGUUCGAUCCCCAGUGGAGUCG